CCUACGGGUGGCUGCAGUAGGGAAUAUUGGACAAUGGGUGAGAGCCUGAUCCAGCCAUGCCGCGUGCAGGAAGAAGGCGUUAUGCGUUGUAAACUGCUUUUGCCAGGGGAUAAAAAAGGCGUGCGCGCUUAAUUGAAGGUACCUGGUGAAUAAGCCACGGCUAACUACGUGCCAGCAGCCGCGGUAAUACGUAGGUGGCAAGCGUUGUCCGGAUUUAUUGGGUUUAAAGGGUGCGUAGGUGGCCCUGUAAGUCAGUGGUGAAAUAUCUCAGCUUAACUGAGAGGGUGCCAUUGAUACUGCAGGGCUUGAGUACAGAUGAGGUAGGCGGAAUUGACGGUGUAGCGGUGAAAUGCAUAGAUAUCGUCAAGAACACCGAUAGCGAAGGCAGCUUACCAAGCUGUAACUGACACUGAGGCACGAAAGUGUGGGGAUCAAACAGGAUUAGAUACCCUGGUAGUC
rnacentral:rRNA from 1 species